GUGUUAUUGUGGCUUUUCACUUCAGGAAGCAAGCAUAAUGAUGCUAUUCAUUGCAUUAACUGCAAAAAAACUAUCAUUAAGUCUUUGACUGUCUUAUAAUCAUGGGGAAAAGAAUUAAUACUUUGGAGCUCCAAAUAGGCCAGGCGCUUAGCGACCACCAUCCCUUUCAGUUUCCUCAAUAUUCUAGGAGAGAGGUAUCAGUAAUUUGAAUUCCCAUUUUACAGAUGGGGAUCAUCUCAGAGAGAGAAAAUCAUGUGCCCGGUGUGGUGCUAGGUUGUAACUAGGAUCUGCCUGUCCCAAAGCCUGCUCUCUUUCCAAGAUGUCGAGCAGCUGUCCCUUUUAUUUCUGGACUAUUUUGUAAUGCAUAAGGUGUCUUCAUAACAUCAGCUUUCUCAGCCUUGACAAUCUGUUUGUGCGGUGUGGGAGGCAGCGAUUUGGGUCUGUAUUUCGCAGAUGAUGAACAGAGGUUCACAAAUUAUCUGAUUUGCUCUGAGUGAGGCUGCGAGACUCAGGUCUUCAAGUCUACAGUUCUUUGCCCUGUCCACAUCCACCUUAUGCAGAGGUUCUGUAGGUGUCAAGAGUAAAGAAGUUGAUUUCUUAAAAUCAUCAAAUGGAGUCUAGGGUUGGUGACAGACCUGUCUUGAUUUUCUCAGGCCUUUCCUGACAUAGGAAGUCUUGUGUCCCGAGAAUACCCUCAGCCUUGGGCAGACUGGGAGAGUUGAUUCCUCUGACCAGAUACUCACAGAGGUCUUAUAAACAAUGCUGUCACUCUUCAUUCUUUUCAACUCAAUAAAUGUAGACUGCAUGGAAAGUUGAAAAAAGAAACGACAACCUAUAAGCAACCAACAGCAUAUACAUUUGGAAAUAAGAAGAUGAGGAGAACAGAGGCAACAUAUUUCUGUCUGCUUAUUUGGUUGCUCAAAGAACUUAAGUGUUAUUAUGAAGCCGAGUAAUCAGUAUCCUUCUUCACAGCUGUAUGAAAACAUGCAGGUUUGAUAUCAGCUGGACCUGAAUAGAAGCCUGUGAUGUUGACCUUGAUAGACCCUGUGUAUUGGCCUUCUGCAGGCUACUUUUUACUUUUAUGACCAGAUACAGUGACCUGGAGCAGCACUUCCCUCUGUAAUGGGCAAUCCAGUGCCCUCAAGAAGAUUGAAGAGGAUUCAUGACACUCACCCAAUGAUCUCUUGGAGCCUCUUGCUGUGAAUUUCGGCUUCUUGAUCGACCAGCUCACAUUUUUGUCUCUUGUGGCUGUCCUGCUGCCUCUCUCCCAUCUGUCUCAUUCAUUGAUGGGAGUUUUCUCCUUCAUUCUCGAAAGCAUCACUGACACAAGGAAGUUAUAUGCAACAGACUUUUACUAAAAAUUUAAGGAUGGCUCCAGGGAUUAGAGCACAGAGCAGGAACC
rnacentral:lncRNA from 1 species